rnacentral:rRNA from 1 species
UACGUAGGGUGCAAGCGUUGUCCGGAAUUAUUGGGCGUAAAGAGCUCGUAGGCGGUCUGUCGCGUCGGAUGUGAAAAUCCAGGGCUCAACCCUGGACCUGCAUUCGAUACGGGCAGACUAGAGUUCGGUAGGGGAGACUGGAAUUCCUGGUGUAGCGGUGAAAUGCGCAGAUAUCAGGAGGAACACCGGUGGCGAAGGCGGGUCUCUGGACAGUUCCUGACACUGAGGCACGAAGGCCAGGGGAGCAAACGGG